rnacentral:lncRNA from 1 species
UCCAUGCAAAAUUAUAGUACCAUUCAAAAUGAUAUCAUAAAAAAAAAAAUUUAUUGAUAUUUUGUAAUUAGAUUUGACUAAAAGGCCUACAGAAAUAACAUUUAAAAGAAAACUUGGAUAGUAAUAACACUCAUCAAGAACAAUAUGCUGAGACUCAAAUACAAGCUUAAUGAUUCUUAAAGCUAGAAGUAGAAUUGAUCUUCCAUCUCUAAUAUUUAGAAAUCUCUCACCUUCUCUAAAUAUCCUACUGACCUGAAGACCCUGCAACAAAUUGCAAAUGUG